UACGUAGGGCGCAAGCGUUGUCCGGAAUUAUUGGGCGUAAAGAGCUCGUAGGCGGUUUGUCGCGUCUGCUGUGAAAACCUGAGGCUCAACCUCGGGCUUGCAGUGGGUACGGGCAGACUAGAGUGCGGUAGGGGGUGACUGGAAUUCCUGGUGUAGCGGUGGAAUGCGCAGAUAUCAGGAGGAACACCGAUGGCGAAGGCAGGUCACUGGGCCGCAACUGACGCUGGAGGAGCGAAAGCAUGGGGGAGCGAACAGG
rnacentral:rRNA from 1 species